rnacentral:lncRNA from 1 species
GGUAAAGUCCAUGUAUAUCAACUCCUCCAGACUUACUAUUUUGCUUGUCCUCAAGCAAAACAACGAGCUGUCUCUCUGAAAGAGGUUUGAAAACAGCAGUGACUCACACAAUUUAAGAACUCACUAUCAUCACCUCUACAAUGUUGCAAGCCACAUCAAAUCAAUUCUAACUUCAGAGAUAUUCUAUAUACCAUAUCCUAGCUUAGCAACCAAAUCCAUCUAACCAGCAACUUAGCUAAUAGUGUCUG